rnacentral:rRNA from 1 species
CGGCGAGUGAAGCAGCAAUAGCUCAAAUUUGAAAUCUGGCGUCUUCGACGUCCGAGUUGUAAUUUGUAGAGGAUGCUUCUGAGUAACCACCGACCUAAGUUCCUUGGAACAGGACGUCAUAGAGGGUGAGAAUCCCGUAUGCGGUCGGAAAGGUGCUCUAUACGUAGCUCCUUCGACGAGUCGAGUUGUUUGGGAAUGCAGCUCUAAAUGGGAGGUAAAUUUCUUCUAAAGCUAAAUAUUGGCCAGAGACCGAUAGCGCACAAGUAGAGUGAUCGAAAGAUGAAAAGCACUUUGGAAAGAGAGUUAAAAAGCACGUGAAAUUGUUAAAAGGGAAGGGAUUGCAACCAGACUUGCUCGCGGUGUUCCGCCGGUCUUCUGACCGGUCUACUCGCCGCGUUGCAGGCCAGCAUCGUCUGGUGCCGCUGGAUAAGACUUGAGGAAUGUAGCUCCCUCGGGAGUGUUAUAGCCUCUUGUGAUGCAGCGAGCGCCGGGCGAGGUCCGCGCUUCGGCUAGGAUGCUGGCGUAAUGGUCGUAAUCCGCCCGUCUUGAAACACGGACCAAGGAGUCUAACAUCUAUG